GAUCGAGUAUAUAAGGGCAUUCCCAUGAACAUCCGGGGCCAAGUGUGGUCAGUCUUGCUGAACAUACAGGAAGUCAAGUCGAAAAACCCCAGAACAUACAAGGUCAUGAAGGAGAAGGGCAAGAGGUCAUCUGAACACAUCCACCAGAUCGAUGUGGACAUGAGCAGGACAUUAAGGAAUCACAUCUUCUUCAGGGAUCGAUACGGAACCAAGCAGCGGGAACUAUUCUACAUCCUCCUGGCAUAUUCGGAGUAUAACCCGGAGGUGGGCUACUGCAGGGACCUGAGCCACAUCGCGGCCUUGUUCCUCCUUUAUCUGCCUGAGGAGGAUGCAUUCUGGGCACUGGUGCAGCUGCUGGCCAGGGAGAGGCACUCCCUGCAGGGAUUCCACAGCCCAAAUGGCGGGACAGUCCAGGGCCUCCAAGACCAUCAGGAGCAUGUGGUCCCCACGUCACAACCCAAGACCAUGUGGCAUCUGGACAAGGAAGGUCUUUGCGUGCAGGAUUCCUCCUUAGGCUGGCUUCUCCAGACGUUGAAUGACGGGAUCUCUCUUGGGCUCACCCUGCGCCUGUGGGACGUGUAUUUGCUGGAAGGAGAACAGGUGUUGAUGCUGAUUACAAGCAUUGCCUUUAAAGUUCAGAGGAAGCGCCUCAUGAAGACAUCCAGGUCUGGCCUGUGGGCACGGUUUCGGAACCUGUUCUUCCAACCUGGGAGUUGGAUGAUGACUCUGUGCUCAAGCAUCUUAGGGCCUCUGCGAAGAAACUAACAAGGAAGCAAGGAGACCUGCCACCCCCAGCCAAACCCGAGCAAGGGUCCUCGGCACCGAGGCCUGUGCUGACUUCAAGUGGCAGAACGACCCUCUGCAAGGGGGACAGGCAGACCCCUCCAGGCCCACCAGCCCGGUUCCAGCGGCCCAUUUGGUUAGUUUCCCCACCAUGGGCACCUCGUUCUUCCACAUCUUGUCCUGGUGGGGCCGUCCGGGAAGACACCUACCCUGUGGGCACUCAGGAUGUGCCCAGCCUGGUCCCAGCUCAGGGAAGACCUCAGGGUUCCUGGAGAUUCCUGGAGUGGAACUCGAUGCCCCGGCUCCCGACGGACCUGGAUGUAGGGGGCCCUUGGUUCCCCCAUUAUGAUUUCGAACAGAGCUGCUGGGUCCGUGCCGUAUCCCAGGAAGACCAGCUGGCCACCUGCUGGCAGGCGGAACAUCCUGCGGAGGGGGUGAGAUUGGCUUUCAUUGCACUGAGCCACAAUGUGGACAUGGACUUCCAGCCCUGCACUGCACCCAGCACUGAUUCCAACCAGGACAGCUCCUUAACAGCUAGGGACGAGCAGCAGCGCGCUCCCACCUCAGGGCCUUGCCUCUGUCACCUCUACUUGGAAAAUUCUCAUUUCCCUCCAGGCUUCUAGAAGCAUCUGGGGCAGGGCUCAUGGCUGGAUAACUUCCCAAGACUUAACAACCCAAGCAAACUUCACGUCCUCGUUUUAUUUUUUGUUGAACUUAUGAAAAUUGAUUAAGAAAGUGUGCAGCUCAAAAGACCUUCACAGAUGGAACACACCAGCCCCCAGAUCACAAAGCCAACCAUGCCCAGCCCCUCCCAGCACCCCCAGCCGUGUGACCAGCUUUCUGAAUUCCCACAACACCGUGUGCCUGCCUUUGUAUUUUCAACUCAUAGAUGAUUAACCCCUUCAUGUUUUAAAAUAAAUGUUUUCUGUUGAAAUUA